rnacentral:rRNA from 1 species
GACGGAAGGUGCAAGCGUUGUCCGGAAUUAUUGGGCGUAAAGAGCUCGUAGGCGGUUCGUCGCGUCGGCUGUGAAAUCCCGAGGCUCAACCUCGGGUCUGCAGUCGAUACGGGCGGACUGGAGUUCGGCAGGGGAGACUGGAAUUCCUGGUGUAGCGGUGAAAUGCGCAGAUAUCAGGAGGAACACCGGUGGCGAAGGCGGGUCUCUGGGCCGAUACUGACGCUGAGGAGCGAAAGCGUGGGGAGCGAACAGG